rnacentral:rRNA from 1 species
AGACCCGAAACCCGGUGAUCUAGCCAUGGGCAGGUUGAAGGUUGGGUAACACUAACUGGAGGACCGAACCGACUAAUGUUGAAAAAUUAGCGGAUGACCUGUGGCUGGGGGUGAAAGGCCAAUCAAACCGGGAGAUAGCUGGUUCUCCCCGAAAGCUAUUUAGGUAGCGCCUCGUGAAUUCAUCUCCGGGGGUAGAGCACUGUUUCGGCUAGGGGGCCAUCCCGGCUUACCAACCCGAUGCAAACUGCGAAUACCGGAGAAUGUUAUCACGGGAGACACACGGCGGGUGCUAACGUCCGUCGUGAAGAGGGAAACAACCCAGACCGCCAGCUAAGGUCCCAAAGUCAUGGUUAAGUGGGAAACGAUGUGGGAAGGCCCAGACAGCCAGGAUGUUGGCUUAGAAGCAGCCAUCAUUUAAAGAAAGCGUAAUAGCUCACUGGUCGAGUCGGCCUGCGCGGAAGAUGUAACGGGGCUAAACCAUGCACCGAAGCUGCGGCAGCGACACUCAGGUGUCGUUGGGUAGGGGAGCGUUCUGUAAGCCUGCGAAGGUGGCCUGUGAGGGUUGCUGGAGGUAUCAGAAGUGCGAAUGCUGACAUAAGUAACGAUAAAGCGGGUGAAAAGCCCGCUCGCCGGAAGACCAAGGGUUCCUGUCCAACGUUAAUCGGGGCAGGGUGAGUCGACCCCUAAGGCGAGGCCGAAAGGCGUAGUCGAUGGGAAACGGGUUAAUAUUCCCGUACUUGGUGUUACUGCGAAGGGGGGACGGAGAAGGCUAUGUUGGCCGGGCGACGGUUGUCCCGGUUUAAGCGUGUAGGUGUGUGUUCCAGGUAAAUCCGGUUCACUUUAACACUGAGGCGUGACGACGAGGCACUACGGUGCUGAAGCAACAAAUGCCCUGCUUCCAGGAAAAGCCUCUAAGCAUCAGGUAACAUCAAAUCGUACCCCAAACCGACACAGGUGGUCAGGUAGAGAAUACCAAGGCGCUUGAGAGAACUCGGGUGAAGGAACUAGGCAAAAUGGUGCCGUAACUUCGGGAGAAGGCACGCUGACACGUAGGUGAAGUGAUUUACUCAUGGAGCUGAAGUCAGUCGAAGAUACCAGCUGGCUGCAACUGUUUAUUAAAAACACAGCACUGUGCAAACACGAAAGUGGACGUAUACGGUGUGACGCCUGCCCGGUGCCGGAAGGUUAAUUGAUGGGGUCAGCGCAAGCGAAGCUCCUGAUCGAAGCCCCGGUAAACGGCGGCCGUAACUAUAACGGUCCUAAGGUAGCGAAAUUCCUUGUCGGGUAAGUUCCGACCUGCACGAAUGGCGUAAUGAUGGCCAGGCUGUCUCCACCCGAGACUCAGUGAAAUUGAACUCGCUGUGAAGAUGCAGUGUACCCGCGGCAAGACGGAAAGACCCCGUGAACCUUUACUAUAGCUUGACACUGAACAUUGAGCCUUGAUGUGUAGGAUAGGUGGGAGGCUUUGAAGUGUGGACGCCAGUCUGCAUGGAGCCGGCCUUGAAAUACCACCCUUUAAUGUUUGAUGUUCUAACGUGGACCCGUGAUCCGGGUUGCGGACAGUGUCUGGUGGGUAGUUUGACUGGGGCGGUCUCCUCCUAAAGAGUAACGGAGGAGCACGAAGGUUGGCUAAUCCUGGUCGGACAUCAGGAGGUUAGUGCAAUGGCAUAAGCCAGCUUGACUGCGAGCGUGACGGCGCGAGCAGGUGCGAAAGCAGGUCAUAGUGAUCCGGUGGUUCUGAAUGGAAGGGCCAUCGCUCAACGGAUAAAAGGUACUCCGGGGAUAACAGGCUGAUACCGCCCAAGAGUUCAUAUCGACGGCGGUGUUUGGCACCUCGAUGUCGGCUCAUCACAUCCUGGGGCUGAAGUAGGUCCCAAGGGUAUGGCUGUUCGCCAUUUAAAGUGGUACGCGAGCUGGGUUUAGAACGUCGUGAGACAGUUCGGUCCCUAUCUGCCGUGG